AUUGAACGCUGGCGGCAGGCUUAACACAUGCAAGUCGAACGAGUGGCGGACGGGUGAGUAAUGUCUGGGAAACUGCCCGAUGGAGGGGGAUAACUACUGGAAACGGUAGCUAAUACCGCAUACCAUCGGAUGUGCCCAGAUGGGAUUAGCUAGUAGGUGGGGUAACGGCUCACCUAGGCGACGAUCCCUAGCUGGUCUGAGAGGAUGACCAGCCACACUGGGACUGAGACACGGUCCAGACUCCUACGGGAGGCAGCAGGGGGGAAUAUUGCACAAUGGGCGGAAGCCUGAUGCAGCCAUGCCGCGUGUGUGAAGAAGGCCUUCGGGUUGUAAAGUACUUUCAGCGAGGAGGCGGUACUUGCAGAAUAAGCACCGGCUAACUCCGUGCCAGCAGCCGCGGUAAUAC
rnacentral:rRNA from 1 species